AUUUGUUGAAAAAAUCCUACUGUAAACAAAUAUAUCUCACUAAUGAGGAUGCUACAACUGAUACUCCUCUUUUUUGUGAAAACUACCAAAUUUUUUGAAGAACACAGAAAAUGUAGCAGAAAGCAGCCAUUUAAAAAAAUUGUAGCUGAGUUUCUUUGUCAUUACUGAAAUGUGAGUUUUAUUAGGAGCAUGAUACUGAUGAAUAAUACCACAAAGAAAAGAAUGACCACUCUUUCUUUCUUUCUUUUUUUUUUAGCCACUCCUUAUUUAAUGGAAGAUAUCAGUGUAAGACUACAGACUUUGUAUUUCCAAACUGAAGCCAGGAAAACUAGUUCGACCUCAAGAGUUGAAAAGGUAGACCGAGAUCUGAGUAAGACUAAUGUGUGUGUGUGUGUGUGUGUACAUAUAUAUAUAUUUAACAAUCCUCUCUUUCUCUUUCUCUCUCUCAAAUAUUAAUUAAAUAUAUAUUGUAUUUCAGGCAGAUCCUUACACACAGACUAGAAAGAACAGAAGCCUAAGAACAAAUAAUUAAAGAAUAAUGCAAUAGUGUAUGAGCUAUAUUGACUAUUUAAAUAUAUUCAGCAGACUGUUUAAAUAUAUUUAAUCGUCAUGUGAUAAUCUCCACAAACUUUAGCCUAUUUGCAAGGACGUUAGAAGGUCUCAGUUCAAGGAUCUUACAACCCCUACUAGUGACCUCAGGACACUGAUGCUAUACAGAUUUAGAAUAAAGAAAUUUGUUGCCAUCACAACUGUUUCCUAUAUUUGCAGUCCUCAAUUGUUGCUCUAACUAGUGGAUUGUAGAAUAAAUCACUGUUAAAUUAUAUUUAAAACCUUGUAUCUUAUUACUAAUGCACCUUGGAAACUAUGAUUAAAUUGUGUUGAAAGUGAAACUAGAAUCUUGAGGACUAGGAUGCUGUAAUCAUCAUUUUAGUGUUUAUUACAUUUAUGUUAUUAAUGAAUCAGAGAGAUAAGAAAAAUCUCCAAUUUAUUAGAAAAGAUUCAUUAAAAAUUGCAACUUUGAAGUUUCCAAAACCUAUUCCCAAUGUAAACAGGAAAGAAAUGAGAGAACACCGUGUUUCUGAACAGUUUGUAACAGGAAAUCUGUACAAAAGUAUUUACAUAACCAAGAGAAGCCCCUAGAGAAAGGAGGAAUUUGCAGGUAAAUUAAUGCAAUGGAUUCACAGAAAAAAAGGGGGACUAUUGUAAGGCCCAGAGGUGCACUUCACAAUGAAUAAUUCCAUCAAAAUUAUACGUGCAAAUUAGAUCAAUUAAAGUGGAAGAUGCUCAGUCACAUACUGGUCUAAGAGUUAACAGUUGUGAGAAUAGAACUAAAACCAAUUCCAAUUGAAAUUGUAGAGAACAUCCCAGGUGGAAAACAAAAUAAUCCUAAAGGAACAAGAGUAAGUAAAAGCAUUAUUUAUUUGCUUUGUUUUUUUUGAAGGUUGAUAUUAGAAAAAAUUAUAAAUUUUUUUCUGGCUACUUGUACAUUUCUAUUCUCGGCGAACAACAAAAAUAACAACAAAAAACACACAAGAGAGAGGCACAAAUCUUUUUCUAAGGAAUACAAAAAGGCUGACCAAAAGUAGGUCCAAGGUGAUGACUCCAGUUUCACCAAAAAUUAGAGAUGACUGCUUAAUCUCCUACUUUUUGUUAGAUUCACUGAAAUCAAAUAUUUAUUGUUAACUAAGGACUUGUAAGAGAGAAAUGUAAAAACUAAACAUGUUAUUUUAAGAAAAAGCAAAUUUGUGAAAUAGUGCAUAUGAUAGAUAAGGUGAAUUGGUUUGCAUAGCAAACUGUUUAUUGCUCAGGUGUUUAUGGCAUCAAGGGCAUUCUUCUAGUUUCACCUGGACUCCUGUAUUUCUGGUCAGCUAUAGGUCGAGUAGCAGCUCUGCCUUUGUAGGUAUGGCUCUCUAGCAAAAUCAGGUACCAGCCCACUUGGAGAAUGGGGUGCUUCCUCUCUUCUCCACAUUGUCCUUCAUUGUGCAGCAGACUAGACCAGCUUUGUUCUUAGUGGCAGAGGCAGGGUGUUGAGACAGUGGUGAAACAUGAGCUCAAAAACCUAAAUUUGGAACUGUUACACUGUGACUUCCCCCAUAUUCUGUUGGUUAAACAGGUCAGAAUGGCAUUCCAGAUUCAAGAGGUGGG
ensembl:lncRNA